rnacentral:rRNA from 1 species
GACGUAGGGCGCGAGCGUUGUCCGGAUUUAUUGGGCGUAAAGAGCUCGUAGGCGGCUUGUCGCGUCGACUGUGAAAUCCCGCGGCUCAACUGCGGGUCUGCAGUCGAUACGGGCAGGCGUAGAGUUCGGUAGGGGAGACUGGAAUUCCUGGAUGUAGCGGUGAAAUGCGCAGAUAUCAGGAGGAACACCGAUGGCGAAGGCAGGUCUCUGGGCAUUAACUGACGCUGAGGAGCGAAAGCAUGGGGAGCGAACAGGAAUUAGACUAC